rnacentral:rRNA from 1 species
UACAGAGGGGGCAAGCGUUGUUCGGAAUUACUGGGCGUAAAGGGCGCGUAGGCGGCCCGCUAAGUCGAACGUGAAAUCCCUGGGCUCAACCCAGGAACUGCGUCCGAUACUGGCAGGCUUGAAUCCGGGAGAGGGAUGCGGAAUUCCAGGUGUAGCGGUGAAAUGCGUAGAUAUCUGGAGGAACACCGGUGGCGAAGGCGGCAUCCUGGACCGGUAUUGACGCUGAGGUGCGAAAGCGUGGGGAGCAAACAGG